CACGUACUUCCUUCGUUCCGAAUUACUUGUCUUAAAUUUGUUUAGAUACGGAUGUAUCUAAACUUAUUUUAAUGUUAAAUACAUUCAUAUCUAGACAAAUUUAAGAUAAGUAAUUCGGAAUAGAGGAAAUAUAUA
rfam:Triticum aestivum genome assembly, contig: Triticum_aestivum_CS42_TGACv1_scaffold_321043_4BL